rnacentral:lncRNA from 1 species
UAAAGAAUUACAAUCCUUAAAUUUCCUGGACAGUGCUGAAAAUUACAUUUUCUAGCUUGUUUUACCCUAAACCCUAUUACUAGAACAUUCUAGAGCCUCAACAUCCAAAUUACAAAAAUGAAAAAUGCUUCACAAAUUAAUAUUCAAAAGAGGCAUAAAGAAUGACAAAAUCCUUAACUUUCCACGACAUAGUGCUGAAAAUCACAAGUGCCGCACUCCUUAAAGAUAUACAAUCACUGAGGAUAAACUCAUAAGUCAAACAUUUCAAACCCAAUAUACAAUCCUAUUACCUGGGCCAUUUCAUAUAGUGGUUGGUAAAUUGCAGGCAUUAAUAGAGCAGAGUUGUUGGAGCUCCAUUUGUAGUUCUUUCAAAGGUAUGACUAUAUAGUUAAGCAUCAUUAUUAGUAACAAUGAAAAUAAAAGCUAUAAUAAUUAGAGACAGUGAAAAUAAAAGUUGUAAGGUUCAUAACAUACUAUACAAAACAUCUUCGAUAUCCACACUGCCAGCAUCCCGAGCAAUGUCCUCCAUAUUGCUGCAAAGUGUAAGCAUGUGAGGAUCAUUUCACAAAGAAAAAAAGGAAUAAACUAUUACCAAACUAUACAAAUUUGUCAUUCAGCUCUACGUUGGAUAGUAUACAACUGAUGGUUUGUGAAAGACAUCCAGAAUCCAUAUAUUAUUUUUUAAAAAUAAAAUAAAGCAAGUUCAAUUUAACUGGACUUUUAGAACUGUUUCAUUGACUUGCCAACUAAAUAGAAAGAGAAGAGCAACUCACUAAGCUUCGUCAAGAAUAACCAUGCCUCCUUUAAUAUCCACUUCCAUUGGUACUCAAAUGACUGGAUUAUUGAUGUAGUUAUAUGGACAAAAUACUAAUUGGGCAUCAUUUGACAUAUAGAACGAGCACCAUAAUAACAACAACCAGAAAGUGAAAGUGGAGACAGCAUAAGACUUGUACUUUACAAAGCUUAGAACAAACUUUUAAACAAAAAAAUAAAAAACAAAGAUAUGUGGGAAGACACCCACCAGAUUCACCCAAGACAGCGAUUCCCACCAUACUGGAAGUACUUUCCUGCAAUGAAAAAACAGGUGACAUGCACUCUCCUCCAUUGUUCUGCAGAAAGGACACAAAUAUUCAUGUAACUCAACUUGCUUCCUUCUCAAGUUAUCUCUGGUUGGUAGCCUAUCUUUGAGUAACCUCCAUGCAAACACAGCCACUUUAGGUGGGACCUUAAGCUUCCAUAAUUCCUUGAACUCUCCAUCCUGGGCCUCCUCUGAUAUGUCCUCUCUAAGCACACUAUAGGCACUCCUAAUCGAAUACUGGCCACUAGGAUCUGCCGCCCACACCCACUGAUCACCAAUAUGAGACUGGAUUUUGUACCCCUCAACUUCUUGUAUAAAUGAGACCGCCAUAUCUAUCUCACUGUCAAAUAAUGGUCUCUGCCACUUGAAGUCCCAUUCCCACCCUGUGUCCUUGAAAUCUCGUACCACUUAAAUUUGUAUUGUUAGAGAAUAAAAUGGUACCAUUCCGAUCAAAAAACAAUUUGAGUGCCUCAGCAAUCAUCCAAACAGAAUCAUAUGCAUAGAGGCUGUAUGGAUUUAACCCAAUUGAGCCAUUACUGAUGUGUUUCCACCUUGAGAUAAAUGCCUAUUUUUUCUUAAGUGAGGGGUGUGAGGGCGAAAGGUAAUAACUCCUUGAAUUGAGUAGGUGGGGGAUAUGAGGGUAAUGUGGAAGGGGUUGAUGCAGUGAGUGUUUUCAUGAAAAAUGAGACAUUUUGGUGUUUCAGAGAAAGUUUUUGAAGGUGGGAUUUGAUAGGGAUAUGCAGUUGUGGUAAAUAAUGUGGGCAGGUGGAAAGUUCGUUAUGGGACAUAAAUCAAACAGGAGGUAGGCACUAAACUUAGCAGGGGUUCUGUUAAAUCUAGUAAUGAUUCUGUCCAGAUUUGUGGGAUUCAAUUUAGGGGAAAUAAAUCUGAACCAAAUCAGAUCAGAUAUUUUUAGGAAGUUUUUAUCUUAUUUAUUGCAUUUCGUUUUUAUUUUAUCUCUGUUUAUGGGAGAUUUGUUUCCUGAUUAUGGGAGAUUUAUUUUCCUUAUUUGUAGCAGAUUCACUCUGCAUAAAUACUGAUUAAAAGACAAAGCUAUUGUUCGAUGGGUCGUCCAAACCUCGGAUACUGCGCAGACCUCCAAACAGCACAUGUAGAGGCGUAACACAGCAGAGGCAGAGGAGCUGGUAGUAGAGAUGCACAAAAAAGGAGAUGAAGGGGACCUCGGGAAGCGCGUUAGCUGUCAUUCGAGACAGCUUACAUGAAAAUGUAAAUGGCAAGGGGACAAUGAACGUUGAAGGUGAAGAAGGAGAAGUGAAUGAGGCUGACCUGGGCAAUUUCAAAUUAUCCAUACCAUUGGCACAUGACAAGGAGGAUAUGGGAUUAAUGGACUUGGGCCACGCUAUUAACACCCCCCUAAGGUAGUUUCUCCUCACAAAAAAGGCCCAACAUCAUCAUAAUAAGCGCUCAGCACUUCGUGGCUGGUAUAUUCACAGAAAGGGGGUAUCAAAAGCAGCAAAGCCCAUAAAGCUGGGGUCAUCACGAAGCAAGCUAUCUCAAGCCCAGUGCAUCCUGGCACUGAACCAAAUUUGCAAAUUCAGGAUAGUAGCGGACCAGUUGAUCAACAAACGCAAUCAGAUCAGUCCCCAUCACCCAAAAAACUUGAAAAACACAACCAAGCGGAAACUCAAGAUCUUCAUGCAGAAAAUGUAUGGAACAUAAUCAUCGAACUGGGGUUGACAACAGGCCCUUCACAAAGGAAUUUUGUUCAACAGCUCUAGGACAUGGAGGAUAGAGAUGAAGAACAGGUAGCCAGGCAGGGAGUUACGCACAGACCCCAUGAACAUCAUCUCAUACAACAUAAGGGGGUUAGGGAGGGGAAUUAAAUGGCCGGCAAUCAGAAGGCUGGUCAAUGAGAACCAUAUUGAUCUUUUGUGCAUUCAAGAAACAAAAAUAGAGAGUAUUAAUAAAUUAUUGUGCCAGGCUUUAUGGGGCAACUCCAAAUUCAGUUGGGAGUCAUAUCCAUCAGCCAAUUCUGCUGGUGGAAUUCUCUGUGUUUGGAAUGAGAAAUCUCUUAAGGUGGAUGUGGAAGCAAUGCUUUUCAAGUUUAUUUUGAUGAUGCCAAAGACUCAAGUCAAGAAUCAAUAGUCAAGCAAGUAUCAAGAAUCAAAGAGUCGUUCAAUCAAGAUUCAAGAUUAAAGUGAAGAUUCAAGAGAAGACUCAAGAUAUACAAGAACUUCAAGAAAAGCAUUAAGAUAAGUAUAAAAAGAUUUUUUCAAAAAAAAAGAUUCAAUAGCCCAAUUUGUCCAAAAGAAUUUUUCAAAGAAAAAUCUUUUACCAAGAGUUUUACUCUCUGGUAUUCGAUUACCAGAAAGCAGUAAUCGAUUACCAGUAGCCAACAUUCUUUUCAAACUGAUUUACAAAGCAGUAAUCGAUUACCAUGAGCAUGUAAUCGAUUACCAAUGUUUUAAAACGUUAGAUUUUAAAUUUCAAGAGUCACAACUUGUGAUAAAACAAUUUCAAACUUGUAUAAUCGAUUACCAGUGUUUCUAAACGUUUUGAUUUUUAAAUUUAAACAUGAAGAGUCACAUCUGUUGAUGUGUAAUCGAUUACACUACAAUGGUAAUCGAUUAUUAGUGACUUGUUUUGAAAAUUAAAUUACCAAAAGUCACAAUUCUUAAAGUGACUAGUUUUUGAAGAUUUUUUAAAGAGUCAUAACUUUUAAAGUGACUAGUUUUCAAAAGAGUCAAAACUUUUAAAGUGACUAGUUUUAAAGAAAUUGCCAAGAGUCACAAACUUUAACUUGAGUCAUCAAAUUACUAUAAAUAUGUGACCAUGACACAAAUUUUAGAAGAGAGAAUUUUCAGAUUCCUUUCAUUCAAAGAGAGCUUUCUUUCAUUCAUUCAAAACAUUCUUCUAAGAGUUUGUGUUCAAUACUUUCUUUAUCAAAAAAAGUUCAUUGGUCAAAAACUUGUGUUAUUCUUCUUCUUCAUUCCUUCUCCCUCUUGCCAAAAGAAUUUAAAGAACUAAUCGUCUAAGAAUUCUUUUGAUUCAUUCCUUCUCCCUCUUGCCAAAAGAAUUCAAAGAACUAACCGUCUGAGAAUUCUUUUGAUUCUUUCCUCCUCCCUCUAUACAAAAAAAUUCAAAGGACUAACCGCUUGAAAUAUCUUUUGUUUCACCCUACAAAGAUUUCAAAGGACUAAUCGCCUGAGAUAUCUUUGUCUUAACACAUUGGAACGUACAUCCUUUGUGGUACAAGUAGAGAGUACAUCUACUUGGGUUGUAAUACUGAGAACAAGAGAAGGUACAUCUCUUAUGGAUCAGUUCAAGUGGAGCGUACAUCCACUUGGUGUUACACUGAGCACAAAGGAGGGGACAUCCUUUGUGGCUCUUUGCUUGAAAAGGAUUUUAUAAGGUUAUUGGAAAUCUCAAAAACCGUGGAUUGCUUGGGGACUGGACGUAGGCACGGGUUGUGGCCGAACCAGUAUAAAUCUUGUGUUUCCUUCUUCCCUACACUCUUUACUUUUUCGAUGUGCAUUUUUUAUUUCCGCUUUACUUUUGUCUAAGUUAUUGUUUCUGUUAUUUACUUUCUCAUAACUUAGUAAUAAAGCCUAAUUGAAUCUAGUAAUAUUAAGAAGGAAAAAUUUUAAUUAGUCAAGAAACAUUAAUAAUUAAUUCAAUCUCCCCUUCUUAAUUAUUCCGAGGCCACUUGAUCCAACAGUGGAGAGCAAAUUUGUCGGAGCCAGAUUCAUAUUGUUGUCUGGGAAAUGGGGCCAAGAGUCGCAAACUAUUCAUGUUGUUAACAUCUACUCACCAUGCAAUAUUCAAGAAAAAGGGUCCUAUGGGACAAUGUCUCUUAGUUGAAAAACCAAAACCCGAGCGGAUAUUGGAGUAUCUUAAGGGACUUUAACAAUGUUAGGUCACCUGUAGAGAGAAUAGGAUCUUCUCAAAGGGGGUUGCUGGAUGGAAGCAUUGUGGAAUUCAACAAUUGGAUCGAGGAGCUGGAGGUAGAAGAAGCGCCUUGAGUGGGAAAGAAAAUCACUUGGUUCAGACCGAAUGGCUCGACUAAAAGCAAGCUGGAUAGAUUCCUGGUUUCUCCCGAAUGGCUUGCCAAAUGGCCUGGGUCCGUUCAAUCUGCGCUAGUCAGGAAUUUCUCGGAUCAUUGUCCUGUCUUGCUCAGAUCUAAAAACGUCGAUUGGGGCCCAAAACCAUUGAGAAUUCUAGACUGCUAGCUACCCGAUAAAUCCUUCAAGAAAGUGGUUAUCAAUGGUUGGUCGGCUAAUCCUCAGAGCGGGUGGGGGGAUAUGUACUAAAAGAGAAAAUCAAAGCUCUUAAAUAGAAGAUAAAGACAUGGAACAGAGAUCAAUAUGGAGACAUCUUCAGCAAAUUUAAGAAGAUAGAGGAAGAAUUAAAUAUAUUGGAAGAAGCAACAGCAGACAGGCAGUUGGAAGAUAAUGAACGGGCUCUUAGAAAACAGCUUCAACAACAAUUAUGGAAGGCAACUCAAACUCAUGAGUCAGUAUUGAGACAGAAGGCCAGAUCCAGGUGGAUUAAGGAAGGAGAUUGUAACUCGAGAUAUUUCCACUUGUUGAUAAAUUCCAGGCGGAGAUCCAAUGGUCUGAAUGGAGUGUGGAAGGAUGAGCUGGCAGCAGUUAAAGAGGAAGUUAGGAGGUUCUUUUCUCAGAGAUUUCAGGAAGCUGACUAUGACAAGCCAAAACUGGACGAAAUUAGUUUCAAAACCAUUACUUCUCAACAAAAUGACAUGCUAGUAGAACGAUUUCAGGAGGAGGAGAUAAAGGGCCGUAUGAAGUUGCAAAAGUGAUAAAGGUCCAGGCCCGAAUGGGCUUAACUUUAAAUUCAUCAAGCAAUUCUGGGAUGUCAUCAAAUCAGACUUUCUCAAAUUCUUUGAUGAGUUCCAUGUUAACGGAGACUUCCCGAGAGGUUUAAAUGCAUCUUUUAUAGCCCUAAUCCCGAAGGUAACAGACCCUUAGGUGCUGAAUGAUUACAGGCCUAUCUCACUAAUAGGAUGUACUUACAAGAUUUUUGCUAAGGUGUUGGCCAAUAGGCUGAAGAAGGUAAUGCAUGGCAUCAUCAACGAACGACAAUCAGCAUUCAUAAAAGGCAGACACAUGCUCCACAGCGUGUUGAUUGCAAACGAGGUAGUCGAAGAGGCUAAAAGAUGCCAAAAACCUUGCAUUGUUUUCAAGGUUGACUACGAGAAGGCGUUUGAUUCGGUGUCCUGAGAGUUCUUAAGUUAUAUGAUGGGGAGAUUGGGCUUUGGCUCGAGGUGGAUCCAAUGGAUACUUGCAUGUCUAAAAUCAACUUCGAUUUCGGUCUUGGUAAACAGAAGUCCUUCAUCCGAGUUCUUACCACAGAAAGGGCUCAAGCAAGGAGACCCAUUAUCACCUCUCCUAUUCAACAUCACAGCCGAAGGAUUGAGCGGAUUAAUGUCAAAGGCUAUUGACAGAGGGCUCUACAGGGGAUUUUUAGUGGGCUCAAAUAAGGUUGAAGUUAGCCUGCUCCAGUAUGUAGAUGAUACUAUAUUCUUGGGAGAGGCAACUAUGGAGAAUGUAAGAGCCAUCAAAGCAAUGCUUCGUGCUUUUGAGCUAGUAUCGGGGCUAAAGAUAAACUUUGCUAAAAGUAAUUGCAGGGCCUUUGGUCUGUCGAAUCAGUGGACUCAUGAUGCUUCCAAUUACCUCAAUUGUAGCUUGAUGUCUUUCCCGUUCUCAUAUCUAGGCAAUCAUAUUGGAUUGCCAAUCCUAGAAGAUGUCAGACUUGGGAACCUAUAAUCACUAAAUGUGAGAGAAAAUUAGCGAGAUGGAAGCAAAGACAUUUGUCUUUUGGGGGGAGAGUAACUCCCAUAAAUUCAGUGCUAACAUCCAUUCUGAUCUAUUUUUUCUCUUUUUUCAGGGUUUCUAAACAGGUGGUUGACAAGCUAGUUAGAUUACAGAGGAAUUUUUUAUGGGAUGGUGCAGCUGAUCAAAAAAAGAUUGAUAGGGUCCGAUGGGAUAAGGUUUGCUUGCCAAAGGAAGAAGGUGGAUUGGGAGUCAAAGAUAUCACCUCGUUCAAUAUAUCUUUGUUGGGAAAGUGGAAAUGGGAUUUGGUCCAGAAUCAGGGGGAGACUUGGACAAAAAUACUUGAAUCAAAGUAUGGAGGUUGGAGGAAUCUAGAUGCAGUCCCAAGGGCUAGUUUAGAAUCCUUAUGGUGGAGGGAACUCAAGACGAUAAAUCAAAUCACUCAUCAAGGGCAGCAGUUGGGCAGAUCGACUUUGUGGAAGGUUAGGCGCGGAGACAAGAUUAAAUUCUGGGAGGACAGGUGGUUAAUUGGAGAGACCAAACUAUCAGAAAAGUAUCCAAGAUUGUACACCAUAUCGACUCAGCAACAUCAACUCAUUCAGCAAUUAGGAGUCUUUAAUGAAAAAGGGUGGGAGUGACAAUUUCAAUGGAGGAGACCAUUGUUUGAUAACGAGAUUGACCUGGCGGUCGCUUUCUUGCAAGAAAUUGAUGGGACCAGAAUCAGACCGGAUUCGCAUGACCAGUGGAUUUGGGUGGUGGAGCCAAGCGGCUGCUAUUCAGCUAGGAGUGCAUAUAGAGUAAUUAGAGAAGGCAUACCACCAGAGGGUCAGGAUGGAGGGUUCAGGGAAUUAUGGAAGCUCAAGGUACCACCAAAAGUGGCUAUGUUUGUUUGGAGGUUAAUCAAAGAUAGAUUGUCAACCAGAGACAAUUUGAAAAAGAAGCGGGUAGAGUUACAGGAUUACUUAUGCCCUUUUUGCAGAUUGGCAGAUGAGAGCGCAAGUCAUUUAUUCUUUCAUUGCAGCAAAAUUAUCCCUCUAUGGUGGGAAUCGAUGGCUUGGGUGAAUCUAGUGGGGGUUUUCCCACAUCAACCGAGUUAGCAUUUUCUUCAGCAUUUUCAUGGAGUUUUCGAAGGAUUGCAGGCAAAGAGAUGGCAGCAGUGGUGGUUAGCUCUGACGUACACUACUUGGAAGCACCGAGACAGCAUCAUUUUCUCCAAUGCCUCAUUCAACGCCCAGAAAAUAAUGGAUGACGUAAUGUUUUUACUAUGGUCAUGGCUCAAAUGCUUUGAAAAGAACUUCACAUCUCACUUCAACAAGUGGUCCUCAAAUCUCAAAGAUGGCUUUUGUUGGACAAGACCAUAGGAAUGUAGGCUUCUUUUCUGUAAUUUUAUCUAUCAAUGGUAGUUUUCAGCUCGCAUAAUCACAAUGCUUGUUGCUAACUACCUAUGAAUUGUAUUCUAAAAUCUGUUUGACCAGUACCUCUGGUACUAUUUUAUGAAUAUAUUAUAUAUUUUGGCUAAGCAUAAAAAAAAGGUUACAAGUUGGCCGGUGCUGAUGUCAAGAACUUGAGAUGCACCAGUCUCAGGCUUGCGAUCAAGUGCAUCUAACAGGUAAGUAGUUUUUGUUGUAUGGCACAGUUGAUGACAAUGCAAGGAGAGCAGCAACGUGGGAUGCUUGUUGGUGUCGGUCAACAGCAGAUGAGGGUAUUGUGCUGAGGGGUGACAUGGUUGUAUGUUGCAAUAUGUAGAUCUUAUUUCUUUCCUAAUUUUUAUUGUUACAAUAUUUAUUUUAAAAUAUAUUAAAAUAUGUCAACCCCGUGAUCAUACAUGAACCAAGCUGAGUUUGAUUGAGUUGGUUUGGUUUGUCCUUAAAAAUUUGCCAAGUCCAAACAAACCCAAACAAAAGCUUUUUAAUCAGUUUGGUCUCAUUUUCCAGUCAAUCCAACCCGACCCAACCAUGCCCCUACUUGCAUGUUUAUGAAUUAGGAAGAGAAUAAAAUAAUAAAAGAGGGAAUAUCUGACAGAGUCUCUGUUUAUUAGUGAUAAAAUUUAUAUUUAUUUCAUUCAACAUUCCUGCCCAAUAAAAAAGAUGAGAUAAUACAAGUUUCUUACAUGUCUUUUGUUGACAUUUUUGUAAAGCCAAUAGCAAGAGAAUGCUGUUUUCCUUUAGCCAUGAUGGCCUGAAAUCAUAUAAAUACAUGAUGAGAUGAAGGUUAAUAUAAAGUCACUAGAAAAAUUGUGCAUUAUAAUCAUUCAGGAAGAAUAUAAGGACAGUACCACAGGGCAUUUUGCCCCUACAUCCUCAUCCUAAACACCCCCAGGAGAUGUAAGACCGGGACACAUUAUGUUUGCACCCGCCAAGACAAAUCUAAUUGCACCACGGUCAACCAGUAACUUUUUCAUUAUAUUUCGAUCUACAAAAUAAAUAAGUAAAUAAACAAGCAACAAUAAUUUUCCCAUAUAACGCAUUUCAAUAUCCUUUUCAUCGUAAAGGUUGGACCCAAAGUCAGCUGCAUCGUACAUUAGUUUAUUAUGCAUUACAUAAAAGGUAUGCACUAUGCAUUCAAAAUAGAUACCGGAAAAAUAUGCAACAACUAUAAAAUUUACAUUGAUGGAGAAGUGGCAAGGUGGGCAUCUAUGGUCCAUCACAGACACAGAAAAACAAAGGCACAUUGUUCACAAGAACCAUAUUGAGAUGGUUCUGACUACAAGAACAAGGGGAUAACAGAAGAUAUGACACAACAAAAUGCAGGCAAAAAGAACCACACAAUCAAACCAUUUAGCAACUACAGGAGGGGACUUCUUGGGAAGUAUAUCAUCCAAAACAGGUUAAAGGCCUAGAUAUUGCAGUGGAGAGUAAGUGAGGUUAAUAUCACAAGCAACCAAAAACCAAUGAGUAGCAAGAACCAAAGUUGUUAUUUAAGGUUAAAAAUUCACAUCAAAAGGCAAACCCCAAAUGUGACAUCACCUCUUCAACUGUACUUUUCCCUUUUUUUUCGUUGAACAGAUGCCUUCUCAUGGUUCUGUGACAUCACCUCUUCAGCAAUCCUUUUCAUCACCUCUAGAGCGGCUGGCGGUGUUGCUGAGAACCACGGUUGGCGCAAUGAAGGGAACGACGGGGUUUUGCGUGGUGAGGGGGAACGAGAUUGUUUUCAGAUCGAGGUAUAUUGUAUUAUUAGGUAUUGCGUUCGAGGGAGUCACGAAAAUCCAAGCGGGAUUGUUUUCA